GCAUAGGCAUAAGGAAGGGACUAUAAAAGGCAGCUGCAUCAUCUCCAUUUGGUCUUCAAUCCUGCUUCUAACAUCUGGAGGAACUUUGCCUGACUGGAGCUCUGAACAAAGGACUGAAUGACCCAUCCCAGCUGUGAAUGUACUCCAGAAACUUGAUUUGAGCCUGAGUUUAUUCCAUCACUGC